rnacentral:rRNA from 1 species
GAUGAACGCUAGCGACAGGCUUAACACAUGCAAGUCGAGGGGCAGCAUAGAAGUAGCAAUACUUUGGUGGCGACCGGCGCACGGGUGAGUAACGCGUAUGCAACCUACCUAUCAGAGGGGAAUAACCCGGCGAAAGUCGGACUAAUACCGCAUAAAACAGGGGCACCGCAUGGUGAUAUUUGUUAAAGAAAUUCGCUGAUAGAUGGGCAUGCGUUCCAUUAGGUAGUUGGUGAGGUAACGGCUCACCAAGCCGACGAUGGAUAGGGGAACUGAGAGGUUGGUCCCCCACACUGGUACUGAGACACGGACCAGACUCCUACGGGAGGCAGCAGUGAGGAAUAUUGGUCAAUGGGCGAGAGCCUGAACCAGCCAAGUCGCGUGCAGGAAGAAGGAUCUAUGGUUCGUAAACUUCUUUUGCAGGGGAAUAAAGUGCGGGACGUGUCCUGUUUUGUAUGUACCCUGAGAAUAAGGAUCGGCUAACUCCGUGCCAGCCGCCGCCGUAACAC